rnacentral:rRNA from 1 species
CCUACGGGAGGCAGCAGUGGGGGAUAUUGCACAAUGGGGGAAACCCUGAUGCAGCGACGCCGCGUGGGGGAAGAAGUAUUUCGGUAUGUAAAGCCCUAUCAGCAGGGAAGAAGAAAUGACGGUACCUGAGUAAGAAGCACCGGCUAAAUACGGGCGAGCAGCCGCGGUAAUACGUAUGGUGCAAGCGUUAUCCGGAUUUACUGGGUGUAAAGGGAGCGCAGGGGGGACGGCACGCCUGGUGUGAAAGUCCGCGGCCCAACCGCGGGACUGCAUUUGGAACUACCGGGCUUGAGUGCCGGAGAGGUAGGCGGAAUUCCUAGUGUAGCGGUGAAAUGCGUAGAUAUUAGGAGGAACACCAGUGGCGAAGGCGGCCUACUGGACGGUGACUGACGCUGAGGCUCGAAAGCGUGGGGAGCAAACAGGAUUAGAUACCCGGGUAGUC